CCGGGAGGGUGGUCCCGGCGUGGGGACAGGGGGUUCACGGCCUGGGGGUGGCUCAGGGCACGGCAGCGGGACACCCCCCAACCCCCCGCGACCGGCUCCUCCCUCGGUGUCCCGGGAGUUUGGGGGCCCCUUCCCGUUGCACAAUCGCCCUGAGCAGUUGGUGCCGUUCCUGAUGCAACGACACCCCCACCCCAUCCCCCACAAAACGGGGGGGCUGCACAUGGAAAACCCCUCGGGAUCAGGAACCGGGAGAGCCUGGAAUUCCCAGCCCGGCAGAGAUGGGAUUGACCCUCGUGCUCAUUGUCCUGACCCUCAUCCCGCAUUAAAAAAAGGGAAUUUUCAUUGUGCUGAGGGGAAAAUUUCAUCUUCCUGCCUCUUUUAUUCCCUUUUCCCGGAAAACAGGGAGCAGGGAAAGGGCUCUGGGAUGGAUCCCACACGGAGCACAAGGGCCCGGUCCCAGAGGAGCCAAGAAUUUGGGGCAACAUUUCUGAGGCUCCCAAACUUUGCCACCAAUGGAUUUAACUCUUCCACAGCCUCACUUUUGUUCCUGGAUGGAAAACCCCCGGGAUCCAUGGGAGCAGCACCUCCUUCCAGGAACCAAAGGGCCCUGGGGGGCCCUCACUGUACCCAGGAUGGGAAAGCACCUGGGAAGGAGAUUCCAGCUGGGUGGCACCGCUUUGGGACACGAGGAUCCAAGUUUUCACGUGCUCUUGGCUUCCCCCUCCCAAAGGAAGCUGGUUAAUCCCACUGGGAAUCCCACCAGCAGGAAUGCUGAAGGUAAAAAUGGGGUGCAAUGGGGAAAGGGCUCCCAGCAGCCAGAGGGAAGGAAUGGGAGGAGAGAGGAGCUGGAAUGCCGUGGUUUGGAAAGGUCUGGUGUCUCAUAACCUGCCAGAAAUAGAAGCAAACCCUAUCCAGGGGCCUGGCUCCUCAUCUCCCACUGAUCCCACCCAAUCCAGGGGGGGCUCCUGCCUUUCCCACCCUAAAAGGAGCCCACAAGGAGCAGGUUUGGGGGGUCAGGCACCCCCAGGCCCUGGGUUCUCCCGGGGUUCCAGGGGCACAGCCAUUCCUGCAGGAUCCUGCUCUGUCCCUCCAGGGCGUUCCUGGCACUGCCCCAGGCCUGAUUUAGCAGCCCAGGAGCUGUAGAAUUUCCAUUCCUUCUAAAGUUACCGGGAAUGGCUGAAUCCAGGGGGACAGCGAGCACCCAGGGGGGCAGCCCAGGUCCCUGCUGACUCGGGAAGGGCAGAGAACACCUUCCAAACCAUGGAUUAGCUGGGAAAACACACCAGGAAGGCAAAACACUCCAGCUUCCCAUGCUGGAAGGGGCAGGAACAUCAGCUGUUGGCUUGGGAAGCCCUGAGCUGCUCCAUCACCUCAUUCCCAGCUCCAGGAAGCCUUGAGCUGCUCAUUCCCAGCUCCAGGAAGCCCUGGGCUGCUCUAUUCCCAGCUCCAGGAAACCCUGGGCUGCUCAUUCCUGGCUCCAGGAAGCCUUGAGCUGCUCAUUCCCAGCUCCAGGAAGCCCUGGGCUGCUCAUUCCCAGCUCCAGGAAGCCCUGGGCUGCUCAUUCCUGGCUCCAGGAAGCCCUGGGCUGCUCAUUCCCAUCUCCAGGAAGCCCUGGGCUGCUCAUUCCCAUCUCCAGGAAGCCCUGGGCUGCUCACUCCCAGCUCCAGGAAGCCCUGGGCUGCUCACUCCCAGCUCCAGGAAGCCCUGGGCUGCUCAUUCCCAGCUCCAGGAAGCCCUGGGCUGCUCAUUCCCAGCUCCAGGAAGCCCUGGGCUGCUCAUUCCCGGCUCCAGGAAGCCCUGGGCUGCUCACUCCCAGCUCCAGGAAGCCCUGGGCUGCUCACUCCCAGCUCCAGGAAGCCCUGGGCUGCUCAUUCCCAGCUCCAGGAAGCCCUGGGCUGCUCCCUUCCCGGCUCCAGGCGCAUUCCCGUCUC